CACGUAGUUAGCCGUGGCUUUCUGAUUAGGUACCGUCAAGACGUGCACAGUUACUUACACAUUUGUUCUUCCCUAAUAACAGAGUUUUACGAUCCGAGGACCUUCAUCACUCACGCGGCGUUGCUCCGUCAGGCUUUCGCCCAUUGCGGAAGAUUCCCUACUGCUGCCUCCCGUAGGAGUCUGGACCGUGUCUCAGUUCCAGUGUGGCCGAUCACCCUCUCAGGUCGGCUACGUAUCGUUGCCUUGGUAAGCCAUUACCCCACCAACUAGCUAAUACGGCGCGGGUCCAUCUAUAAGUGAUAGUAAAACCAUCUUUCACUUUAGAACCAUGCGGUUCUAAAUAUUAUCCGGCAUUAGCCCCGGUUUCCCGGAGUUAUUCCAGUCUUAUAGGUAGGUUACCCACGUGUUACUCACCCGUCCGCCGCUAACGUCAAAGGAGCAAGCUCCUUAUCUGUUCGCUCGACUUGCAUGUAUUAGGCACGCCGCCAGCGUUCAUCCUGAGCCAGGAUCAAACUCU
rnacentral:rRNA from 1 species